GGUGGAGGAUAAUCUCGGGAAACUGAGGAUAAUACUCCAUAGAUCUAGGAUGCUGGAAUGCAUUUAGAUUGAAAGCUCCGGCGCNUAAGGAUGAGUCUGCGGACUAUCAGGUUGUAGUCAGGGUAAAGACCUGACUAGCNUACGACGGAUACGGGUUGUGAGAGCAAUAACCCGGAGACGAUAUCUGAGACACGAUAUCGGGCCCUACGGGGCGCAGCAGGCGCGAAAACUUCACACUGUGCGAAAGCGCGAUGAGGGAAUCCCAAGUGCUUGCUCGUAAGAGUAAGCUGUUUCUUUGUCUAAAACGCAGAGAGAGUAAGGGCUGGGUAAGACGGGUGCCAGCCGCCGCGGUAAUACCUGCAGCUCAAGUGGUGAUCAUUAUUAUUGGGCCUAAAACGUCCGUAGCCGGUUUAGUAAAUGCCUGGGUAAAUCGUGUAGCUUAACUAUACGAAUUCCGGGUAGACUGCUAAACUUGAGACCGGGAGAGGCUAGAGGUACUCCUGGGGUAGAGGUGAAAUUCUGUAAUCCUAGGGGGACCACCAGUGGCGAAGGCGUCUAGCUAGAACGGGUCUGACGGUGAGGGACGAGGCCCUGGGGCGCAAACCGGAUUAGAUACCCGGGUAGUCCAGGGUGUAAACGCUGCCUGCUUGAUGUUAGUUGGGCUCCGAGCCCAACUAGUGUCGGAGAGAAGUUGUUAAGCAAGCUGCCUGGGAAGUACGGUCGCAAGGCUGAAACUUAA
rnacentral:rRNA from 1 species